rnacentral:rRNA from 1 species
GAUGAACGCUGGCGGCGUGCCUAAUACAUGCAAGUCGAGCGAACAGACGAGGCGCUUGCUCCUCUGACGUUAGCGGCGGACGGGUGAGUAACACGUGGAUAACCUACCUAUAUGACUGGGAUAACUUCGGGAAACCGGAGAUAAUACCGGAUAAUAUCUUGCACCGCAUGGUUGAAUAGUGAAAUACGGUUUUUCUGUCACUUAUCGCUGGUUCCGCGCCGCAUUGGCUAGUUGGGAAGGUAAUGGCUUACCAAGGCAACGAUGCCUAGCCGACCUAAGAGGCGGAUAGGCCACACUGGAACGGAGACGCGGUCAAGACUCCUACGGGAGGCAGCAGUAGGGAAUCUUACGCAAUGGGCGAAAGCCUGACGGAGCAACGCCGCGUGAGUGAUGAAGGCCUUCGGAUCGUAAAACUCUGUUAUUAGGGAAGAACAAAUGUGUAAGUAACUAUGCACGUCUUGACGGUACCUAAUCAGAAAGCCACGGCUAACUACGUG